GUAGUCCACGCCGUAAACGAUGAGUGCUAGCCGUUGGGUUUUCGGACUCAGUGGCGCAGCUAACGCAUUAAGCACUCCGCCUGGGGAGUACGGUCGCAAGAUUAAAACUCAAAGGAAUUGACGGGGACCCGCACAAGCGGUGGAGCAUGUGGUUUAAUUCGAGGCAACGCGAAGAACCUUACCAGGUCUUGACAUGUCCAGUAUGGAUUUCAGAGAUGAUUUCCUUCAGUUUGGCUGGCUGGAACACAGGUGCUGCAUGGCUGUCGUCAGCUCGUGUCGUGAGAUGUUGGGUUAAGUCCCGCAACGAGCGCAACCCUCGUCCUUAGUUGCCAGCACAUUAUGGUGGGAACUCUAAGGAAACUGCCGGUGAUAAGCCGGA
rnacentral:rRNA from 1 species